rnacentral:lncRNA from 1 species
UUGUGGGUGUUAAAAGGACUGAGUUUCCUGUGUUUGGGGUCUUCCUGAGAUGUAAGCAAUAAAGCUUUGCUGUAGAAGGAUCUGGUUGUCCAAGUAUGUUUUGCUGGCGAAACAUUACAAGGACAAGAAGUGGUGCAGAAACCCGGGAACUAUAUUAUCACCAGGCGCUGAUAGGAGAGCCCCCGUUUCACGGGGCAGAUUCAGAACUACGGGACAAUACAGCUCUGCAAGGAGGAAGAUAAUCCCUUUUGGAUUCCGGAGCGCCUCACUCAAAGGAUCCAGCUCUUGGACAAUGAGUCACAGGAACAAGAUCCCAAGACAUCGAUGGAUCAUACUUCUCAUGCUGGACAUUCUGGUUCUUAGUAUAUCUAGAGAGUUAAGAUGGGGAAUUAUGUCAACUUUCCCUCUUCCUAUGCCAGUUAUGCAUAAUGCACAAAUAUUUCCAUGCUUUUUCACUACAGAUAAAGAACUGGGUCUUGCUUAUUUACCCUUAGAUGAACAGAUUCAGGCUUUACAAGAAAAUAGAACCUUCUUCCUACAGGGAAGCCUGUGCUUUAUGUUAAUUUCCUCAUUACAAGAUAAGAGCCAAUGUAUAUCCUUGCAUUAUCAAUCAGCAGCCUGGUUAAAAAGGGCCUCUUUUGGCGGAGCGGCUUUUGACAUGAAGGCUGAUGCCAUAGUUAUAAGAAGAUGGUGGCCCAGCCGAAAAGGUGGAAGUUCUGGAAAUAAGCCGCCUUCACAACCUAGAAUGGCACCCUUUUGCAAGGAAGGGUCCAUGGAAGAUGUAACGCUACCUUGGACAGGCUGCCAAGCUAAAAAAUAUACUUGGGCAGUAGAGAAAUAUUUUUCCUUUUCACCAUAUAUUAGUAGAGAGUUUAAUGAUACUUUUGCUGGAUAUGAUUUUAGUGCUGUGGACCCCCUCCGACCUAAUAGUAACCCUUUUGAUCAGUGGUUGCUUUGUGGGGUUAAUGGAAGCUGUACUGAUCUCGCCCCCAUGGCUAUGAUUGGAGGAGGUUCUAGUGAGAAGGGAGAAAUGACCUUUGAUUAGAGAAGUACCCAGCGCCAGAAUGAAAAACAGGGUUCAAAUUCUAAAUGGACUACAUCCAAUGUU